UAUUGUUAUUGUUGUGGUUUAUGAGGAGGAGGAGGAGGAUGCUUGUGGAAGUUGGAAGCCUUUGGAAAACAGCCCGGAGGAAGUGGACCUGUGCUCUCACAGAAGCGAGGACGCUGACGGCCAGAUAGAAGUUAGAUACACUUGGCUGGCCGGGGUGACGCCUCAUCUCUGAAGGUUUGAUGGAGCUCCUGCCUCUUGUGUGCAUCCUCAGCAUCACAGAUGACAACAGCAGCUUUUUGAACAUCUGGAGGCACUUCACAGAGGCAAUCUUAGAGCUGAGCAGAGAUUUCUUCCACAGCACCAUCCUUGAAGAAGAGGGAAACAACUCUCAGCUUUGAAUCGGAGGAAAAUAAUGGUAGGGGAUGGGAAUGCCAAGGUUUUGCACCAGUGGAACAAACAGCGAAGCACGCCUAAAACUGAGAUGGAAACAAAUGGAAAUACAUAUAUAAAAGAAUGUG